CCAUGCAUGUCUAAGUAUAAACGAUUUAAUCGUGAAACCGCGAAUGGCUCAUUAUAACAGCUAUAAUUUACUUGAUCUUGACACAAUCCUACUUGGAUAACUGUGGUAAUUCUAGAGCUAAUACAUGCAUUAAAGCUCUGACCUCACGGGAAGAGUGCAUUUAUUAGAACAAAACCAAGCGGCUUCGGCUGUUUCUGGUUGACUCAUAGUAACUGAGCUGAUCGCAUGGUCUUGCACCGGCGACGUGUCUUUCAAGUAUCUGCCGUAUCAACUUUCGAUGGUAGUGUAUCUGACUACCAUGGUGAUCACGCGUAACGGAGAAUAAGGGUUCGGCUCCGGAGAGUUCGCCUGAGAAAUCGCGAACACAUCUAAGGAAGGCAGCAGGCGCGAAAAUUACCCACUCUCAGCACGAGGAGGUAGUGACGAAAAAUAACGAGACCGUUCUCUUAUGAGGCCGGUCAUCGGAAUGGGUACAAUUUAAACCCUUUAACGAGUAUCUA
rnacentral:rRNA from 1 species